rnacentral:lncRNA from 1 species
GUGCUGAUUUUAGCUUCCAUCAAUGCUGCGUGGCGAUCACUGUCAUCCUCAUACACUGCAGAUGGUGAUGCCACCCCAUCAAGACCGGGAUUACGUGAUCCUCGGCCACUGCCGUGACCUACGUGCUGGGUACACAGGAGGCUCAGUAAAUAGUUGCCAAUUAAAUAACUGUAUGCACUACAAGGAAAGAGAUAGUCUGCAAUUCCAAACAGUGCUGCAGACUUCUCCAAGCCCGGAGUCAGUGAACCAUAAUGAUAGAUGAUUAAAUAAGUAAACAUGGGAACACUGGCUAUAGAUUUUAGACCAAUACCUCCGUCCCUGCAGAAGCAGAUUGAGAGGAU